AUGAACGCUGGCGGCGUGCCUAAUACAUGCCAGUCGAGCGAACGGACGAGAAGCUUGCUUCUCUGAUGUUAGCGGCGGACGGGUGAGUAACACGUGGAUAACCUACCUAUAAGACUGGGAUAACUUCGGGAAACCGGAGCUAAUACCGGAUAAUAUUUUGAACCGCAUGGUUCAAAAGUGAAAGACGGUCUUGCUGUCACUUAUAGAUGGAUCCGCGCUGCAUUAGCUAGUUGGUAAGGUAACGGCUUACCAAGGCAACGAUGCAUAGCCGACCUGAGAGGGGGAUCGGCCACACUGGAACUGAGACACGGUCCAGACUCCUACGGGAGGCAGCAGUAGGGAAUCUUCCGCAAUGGGCGAAAGCCUGACGGAGCAACGCCGCGUGAGUGAUGAAGGUCUUCGGAUCGUAAAACUCUGUUAUUAGGGAAGAACAUAUGUGUAAGUAACUGUGCACAUCUUGACGGUACCUAAUCAGAAAGCCACGGCUAACUACGUG
rnacentral:rRNA from 1 species